rnacentral:rRNA from 1 species
ACCUCGUGCUCAUGGAGUGGCCGAUAUCUGAUUAGCUAGUUGGUGAGGUAAAGGCUCACCAAGGCGACGAUCAGUAGCUGGUUUGAGAGAACGACCAGCCACACUGGAACUGAGACACGGUCCAGACUCCUACGGGAGGCAGCAGUGGGGAAUUUUGGACAAUGGACGCAAGUCUGAUCCAGCCAUUCCGCGUGCAGGAUGAAGGCCCUCGGGUUGUAAACUGCUUUUGUACGGAACGAAAAGGUUUCUAUUAAUACUAGGAGCUCAUGACGGUACCGUAAGAAUAAGCACCGGCUAACUACGUG